GUGAAUGAUCAAAUUUUUGAACGCAUAUUGCACUCUCUGGUAUUCCGGAGAGUAUGCCUGUUUGAGGGUCAUUUGAAAUCAUAUAAAUUCCAAAAUUUCUCGGAAUUUAAAAUGGGUUUUUCAUUUUUUGUGGCCGCCUAAAAUCCAAGACAAGCCCAAUUUCUUGGGUUGCGUGAUACUUUUGGUUACCUCGGUACUUAACCAGGAAUCCUCGGGCC
rnacentral:misc_RNA from 1 species